rnacentral:rRNA from 1 species
UACGAAGGGGGCUAGCGUUGCUCGGAAUCACUGGGCGUAAAGGGUGCGUAGGCGGGUCUUUAAGUCAGGGGUGAAAUCCUGGAGCUCAACUCCAGAACUGCCUUUGAUACUGAGGAUCUUGAGUUCGGGAGAGGUGAGUGGAACUGCGAGUGUAGAGGUGAAAUGCGUAGAGAUCAUGAGGAAGACCAGUGGCGAAGGCGGGUCUCUGGACAGUUCCUGACACUGAGACACGAAGGCCAGGGGAGCAAACGGG